rnacentral:ncRNA from 1 species
AAAGGAACCUAGUUGUUCUAAAUGCUCUGUCAGUGAUCAGGAAUUUUCGGGCAGGACGCCCGAAAAAAAUGCAGUUGAGCCAUGGAUGGCGAAUCUGCAUCGGUUCCGUCCACAGAAAAGAACAUACCAGAGCAUAUAGAACAACUU